CAAUAGCGUAUAUUUAAGUUGCUGCAGUUAAAAAGCUCGUAGUUGGAUUUCGGGUGGGAAUGGCCGGUCCGCCGUUUCGGUGUGCACUUGCUACGCCCACCUUGCUGCCGGGGACGUGCUCUUGAGUUCACGCUCGGGACACGGAGUCGGCGAGGUUACUUUGAGUAAAUUAGAGUGUUCAAAGCAGGCCUACGCUCUGAAUACAUUAGCAUGGAAUAACACGAUAGGACUCUGGCCUAUCUUGUUGGUCUGUAGGACCGGAGUAAUGAUUAAGAGGGACAGUCGGGGGCAUUCGUAUUUCAUUGUCAGAGGUGAAAUUCUUGGAUUUAUGAAAGACGAGCUACUGCGAAAGCAUUUGCCAAGGAUGUUUUCAUUAA
rnacentral:rRNA from 1 species